rnacentral:pre_miRNA from 1 species
ACUUGCAGCUGCAGCAUUAUCAAGAUUCACAUAGAAAUCAUGUGGGGCAGAAAACAUAGGUUCUAAAAAUCUAACCCCAAGUUCUUUGAACAUGAGAAUCUUGAUGAUGCUGCAUCAGCAAAUA